rnacentral:rRNA from 1 species
UAGGGAAUCUUCGGCAAUGGGGGGAACCCUGACCGAGCAACGCCGCGUGAGUGAAGAAGGUUUUCGGAUCGUAAAGCUCUGUUGUUAAGGAAGAACGAGUGUGAGAAUGGAAAGUUCAUACUGUGACGGUACUUAACCAGAAAGGGACGGCUAACUAUGUGCCAGCAGCCGCGGUAAUACGUAGGUCCCGAGCGCUGUCCGGAUUUAUUGGGCGUAAAGCGAGCGCAGGCGGUUAGAUAAGUCUGAAGUUAAAGGCAGUGGCUCAACCAUUGUAGGCUUUGGAAACUGUUUAACUUGAGUGCAGAAGGGGAGAGUGGAAUUCCAUGUGUAGCGGUGAAAUGCGUAGAUAUAUGGAGGAACACCGGUGGCGAAAGCGGCUCUCUGGUCUGUAAAUGACGAUGAGGCUCGAAAGCGUGGGGAGCGAACAGG